rnacentral:lncRNA from 1 species
CCUCAGUCCUCCGGGUCCCUCCGGUGAGAGGCGGGCAGGCUCGGGUUCCGCCCCCUCCCAGGGCGGCAGUUCACAGCAUCGGCCGGCAGAGGGCAGCAGAGGCCAGCUCGUGGCAGACCAAGCCCAGGGCCUAGCGCAGAAGCGGGUCCUGGGCCUGAGUCCCGCUGGCUUCCCGGGUGCAGGCUCCACCAGGGAGAAGCAGCGGCCCUUCCUCUCUCUGGCUUGCCCUGGGGAGAGGGGCGAGAGGAGGCAAUUCCGAAAGCCCCUCAUUGUGCGGAGUGGCUUUUUCUUUCUUUUCUGCAUCACAUGCACUGAAUGCCAUUUUCCAAAGUGCUCCCAGAGGGGGCGGGCAGCCAGGUGAUUUCCCAGAAGCCGGAGGAAGAGCCACAGGACGCAAGGCCCACAUAGCUCAGGGGACUUCAGGAGGGCCACACCACUGCUGCUUACAGAACUCGGAGCUUCCUGCCUUGGCAGUCAUCCGGGGAGAAUUGUUACAGCACGGGGCCGCUCCUGUGGUGCCUCUACCUGCGGUUUGUGUCCAGAGCUGCCUUCGGAUGGCUUUCAUAUUCUUUAUAUGUAACACCGAAACUUUGAAAACCAACUCGAGGCCCAAGAAUUCGAAGAGGGAAAUUCAUCUCAUAAAUUGCAAUGCCUUAUCUGAUCUCUCCUUGGGAGCCUCCCUCCGCUCGCUCUGUGGGACUGAAGGGCUGGAGGCCUGUGCCAGUGUUAGCAAAACAUUUGGAGUCACCGAGCCUGCGACGAGAGUGGCACUGGAGCACUGGAGGUCGCAGUGCUGAGCAGGCUCUGCCUGCCUCGGCUCCCUGACCCUCAGCCAGUGUCCUCGGCUGUGAAGCAGAGGACAGACAGCCAUGGCAUGCUGUGAAUGCCCGACGUGCACCGUUGUAAUCUGUGCAGAGGCAGCAGUGAUGCCCAAGUCUCAGAGCCUGACGCCCAGUGAGCUGAACUCAGAGCACUCCCGGCCUUCUCCUCCUCGUCUUCCUGCAGCAGUGGUGCCGAAUCUACCAGACGACUCGGUCUGUCUCCACUGUGCCCUGGCUCUGGAUAAACCACGAAGGAGAGGGCACGGGGGACAGGAGGGACAGCAGGAGAGGCAAGGACCUCUGCAGGGAAUCUGAGUCCCUUAAGUACGUCAUCCCACAGAGAAAAGCCACCUGCAGUCUAUUCCAAGGGCUUUCAAAAUUACUUUAGAAGUGCAAGCAUUUACAGAAGCGGUGGCCCUGCUGAGCACCAAGCGACACAGCGGAGCAGGGCUCCUAACUAGCACCAUGGAACUGGGGAGCCAGACGGAAGAAUCCAGGCGAAAACAACUGCAGAAAAGAGGGUUGAGGGGCCCCGAGCAACUCUCCCUAAGACAGGCGACAGCAUCAUCGCCCCGAGCUGUUUCCGUACAGCCUGUUACCAUCAGCUCUGAAAAUCAGCCCAUUUUAAUACUGUAUGAGCUGAAAUCCUAUGUGCUCCAAAACAAGGUAACAGAGCCUGGAUCAAAGGACUUCGGACCCAGAGUAAUCUACCCACCUCCACUCGGCAGUUGAGUGACUUUUUCCUGGAAGAUAAGAGAUUUCCAACACGUAGGUGAAGUUUUUAUCUGUCGGUCUGGGGUCAGAACAGUAAAUCAUUAUAAUCUUUAAAAGUGAAGCUCAUAUACAUUUGUAAGUUAAUUGGAGUUGGAAAGAGUGUUCUCGAGUUUUAGGCACUCGGUCAUCAGAGGAGCCUUAUAUUGAGAGAGCUGAGUACCGAUAGCCUCAUUCGUCAAGAAACUUUUGCCAGGCAGCAUGGCACACGCUUGUAAUCCCAGCACCGAGGGAGGCAGAGGCAGGAGGAUCGGAAGUCCCAGCCCAUCUGAGCAACUUAGGGAGAUCCUGUCCCAAGAUAAAAAAUAAAAAGGAGGACUGCAGGGGUGUAGUUUAGUGGUGGGUGCCCGGAGCUCUACACUGAGCACCACGCACAGACACACGCCUGCGCACAAGCAGAAAGCGUCUGACGUAGGGAGGGGCGCAUGCCCUGACUGGGGCCUGUUCAGCUCUUAGCCCUAUGGGCCGAGCCAGUUUUCAUGUCUCCCGUGGGUUUGCUGUAGUGCUGGGGUCUCUCUCAUGGGUCCGCGUCGGUCAGAUACACACACACACACACACACACACACACACACACACACACACACACACACGUAUAAGGAAAAAGAUUUACCGAAGGAACCAUCUCCACGGCUUGGGGUCUGGAGAGUCUGAGAUUUGCAGGUGACUCCGAGCUGGAGACCAGGGAGACGCUGCAUGCGGGGCAUUUUCUCUGCUCAGGCCUACAGCGGCCUGGGAGAGGCCCCGCCCACUAGGAAAGGCCACCUGCUUUAUUCAAAGCCGUCCGUCCGGUAACACCCUGAGGGACAUGCCAAGAAAAACUGUGAGCAAGUACACGUGCUGGGGGCCAGCCAGGCAACCCGAGAACCAACCGUCCCAGCACUGCCACCCUCCUGGGCUGCACUGGCUCCUGGUGAAACCUAGCUGUGGGCUCGUGUGGCUGGAGUGUCCCCUGGGUGUGUCCUAACCAGCCCUCUUUUCUGGGGGAGCCUCUGCUUUGAACCCCUUGUCCUGGUGGGACCUGGAUGUUUCAGGAAAGUCUGAAGGUUGGGGAACUCUGGUGCUUGCUGAGCACCUGAGGGGCAGAACUGGGUCCCGGUCGGAGAUAAAGU